rnacentral:rRNA from 1 species
UACGUAGGGAGCAAGCGUUGUCCGGAAUCAUUGGGCGUAAAGAGCGUGUAGGCGGACCAGUAAGUCGGUUGUGAAAGUCCAGGGCUCAACCCUGGAAAGCCGGCCGAUACUGCUGGUCUAGAAUCCGGAAGAGGCGAGUGGAAUUCCUGGUGUAGCGGUGAAAUGCGCAGAUAUCAGGAGGAACACCAAUGGCGAAGGCAGCUCGCUGGGACGGUAUUGACGCUGAGGUGCGAAAGCGUGGGGAGCAAACAGG